rnacentral:rRNA from 1 species
UUCGACUAGGGGGUCAUCCCGACUUACCAACUCGAUGCAAACUACGAAUACCGAAGAAUGUUAUCACGGGAGACACACGGCGGGUGCUAACGUUCGUCGUGAAGAGGGAAACAACCCAGACCGCCAGCUAAGGUCCCAAAGUCAUAGUUAAGUGGGAAACGAAGUGGGAAGGCUCAGACAGCCAGGAUGUUGGCUUAGAAGCAGCCAUCAUUUAAAGAAAGCGUAAUAGCUCACUGGUCGAGUCGGCCUGCGCGGAAGAUGUAACGGGGCUAAACUAUGCACCGAAGCUGCGGCAGCGAUAUUUAGAUAUUGUUGGGUAGGGGAGCGUUCUGUAAGCCUGUGAAGGUGURCUGUGAGGCAUGCUGGAGGUAUCAGAAGUGCGAAUGCUGACAUAAGUAACGAUAAUGCGGGUGAAAAACCCGCACGCCGGAAGACCAAGGGUUCCUGUCCAACGUUAAUCGGGGCAGGGUGAGUCGACCCCUAAGGCGAGGCAGAAAUGCGUAGUCGAUGGGAAACGGGUUAAUAUUCCCGUACUGGUGAUAAUUGCGAUGGGGGGACGGAGAAGGCUAGGCUAUCCGGGCGACGGUUGUCCCGGUUUAAGGAUGUAGGCGCUGAAGCCAGUCGCAGAUACCAGCUGGCUGCAACUGUUUAUUAAAAACACAGCACUGUGCAAACACGAAAGUGGACGUAUACGGUGUGACGCCUGCCCGGUGCUGGAAGGUUAAUUGAUGGGGUUAUCCGUAAGGAGAAGCUCUUGAUCGAAGCCCCAGUAAACGGCGGCCGUAACUAUAACGGUCCUAAGGUAGCGAAAUUCCUUGUCGGGUAAGUUCCGACCUGCACGAAUGGCGUAAUGAUGGCCAGGCUGUCUCCACCCGAGACUCAGUGAAAUUGAACUCGCUGUGAAGAUGCAGUGUACCCGCGGCAAGACGGAAAGACCCCGUGAACCUUUACUAUAGCUUGACACUGAACAUUGAGCCUUGAUGUGUAGGAUAGGUGGGAGGCUUYGAAGCGUGGACGCCAGUCUGCGUGGAGCCAACCUUGAAAUACCACCCUUUAAUGUUUGAUGUUCUAACGUUG